rnacentral:rRNA from 1 species
AUCCUGCCAUGCAUGUAUAAGUACACACGGCUGGUACAAUGGCUCAUUAAAACGGUUAUGGUCCCUUUUGAUCGCUCCAUCUGUUACUUGGAUAACUGUGAUAAUUGUAGAGCUAAUACAUGCCGAUGCGCGCUGACCUCCUGGGAUGCGUGCAUUUAUCAUACCAAAACCAAUCCAGGCUCACCCGGCUGCUUUGGUGACUCUAGAUAACCUUAGGCCGAUCGCAAGUCCCUGUGACGGCGACAAUGCAUUCUGCCCUAUCAACUUUCAAUGGUACUUUCUGUGCCUACCCUGGUAUCCACGGGUAAUGGGAAUCGGGGUUUGAUUCCGGAGAGGGAGCCUGAGAAACGGCUACCACAUCCAAGGAAAGCAGCAAGCGUGCAAAUUACCCACCCCGACUCGGCGAGGUAGUGACGAAAAAUAACAAUACAGGACUCUUUCAAAGCCAUGUAAUUGGAAUGAGUACACUUUAAAUCCUUUAACGAGGAUCCAUUGGAGGGCAAGUCUAAUGCCAGCAGCCGCAGUAAUUCCAGCUCCAAUAGCGUAUAUUAAAGUUGCUGCAGUUAAAAAGCUUGUAGUUACAUUUUGGGAUCGAGCUGGAGGUCUGCCGCAAGGCGAGCUACUGCCUGUCCCAGCCCUGCCUCUCAGGCCGCCCUUGAUGCUCUUGACGGAGGACCUGGGGUCCGAAGCGUUUGUUCAAAGCAGGCCGGUCGACUGAAUGCUUCAGCUAGGAAUAAUGGAAUAGGACUCCGAAUCUAUUUUGUUGGUUUUCGGAACUGGGGACAUUAAGAGAGACGGCCGGGGGCAUUCAUAUUGUGCCACCAGAGGUGAAAUUCAUGGAGCGGCGCAAGAUGAACCAAAGCUAAAGCAUUUGCCAAGAAUGUUUUAAUUAAUCAAGAACAAAAGUCGGUGGUUUGAAGAUGAUCAGAUAGCGUUGUAGUUCCGACCAUAAACAAUGCCGACUAGCGAUCCGGCAGCGUUAUUCCAUGACCUGCCGAGCAGCUUCUGGGAAACCAUAGUCUUUGAGUUCUGGGGGGGAAGGAGGAGUAUGGUUGCCAAGCUAAAACCUAAAGGGAACUGAUGGAAGGGCACCACCAGGAGUGGUGGGUGUGGUGUACUACUAUGGGAGGAUCACCUGGGACAAGACAAGGCCCAGGGCGGUGAUGAGAUCUUGUGGGAUGUGACACAGUAUUUGUAAUUGAAAAGGGAGAACCUUUUAAGGUUGCCAAAACAACUGGUAAUGGCUUAUUGCCAUUAUGAUGUAUCUGAACCACAUAUAAAACCUGUGGCCCUGGGCACAAAUACCCUAAAACCUGAACAAGCCUUAAUAACAGAAAUAUCUUUUAAGGUAUUUCAGGAUAAAAAUCAUCCUUCAUCCCCAAAGGUAUAAUGUAAAAGGAUCUAGAAAAAUUGCCUAAAUAAAUAGUAUUUCUCUGUAACAACACAUUCUGAUGGUUCAUCUUUAAGAACUCUAAGGGAAAUAAAUCCCUUAAAUCAAGAAAUUAUUUAAAAUAACUAACUUUGUUGUUGGGGACUCUAAGUCCCAUAAUCCCCUAAAUUCUGGAUGUGGGAGGAAGGGACAGAAUAGUUAUGCUGUAGCAGUAGUCAGGCAAGUAAGCCUAACAGCCUGGACCUGAAGGAACCUGGGAAGCAUAAAAUGCCCCCUGAGGUGCAGCCAAUGAGAAGGAGCUG